rnacentral:rRNA from 1 species
UACGAAGGGGGCUAGCGUUGUUCGGAAUCACUGGGCGUAAAGCGCACGUAGGCGGAUCUUUAAGUCAGAGGUGAAAUCACGAGGCUCAACCUCGGAACUGCCUUUGAUACUGGGGAUCUCGAGUCCGGGAGAGGUGAGUGGAACUGCGAGUGUAGAGGUGAAAUUCGUAGAUAUUCGCAAGAACACCAGUGGCGAAGGCGGCUCACUGGCCCGGAACUGACGCUGAGGUGCGAAAGCUAGGGGAGCAAACGGG